ensembl:lncRNA
UUUCUGUUUAGCUUUAAUUGAUAUUUAUGUAGUUAACAAUAGCAACAUUGGAAAUAUAUCACAUUGAAGCAAAAAAAAAAAAAAAAAUGCACUGGCUUCAACACAUUUUACUAUAUUUAAAUCAGUUCCACAGUUCUUCUCACAAAAGUCACCACAGAAAAGCUAAGUCUGUGAAUUCCACUGAAGCCAUAAAUAAGCACAGUGAGAAAUGGAGCCAAAACAGUUACUCAGAAAGGAAGAAGAGGGUUUAGCACUUCAUCAGCCCCAUACAGGGGCUCAGUGGGCUGAACACCAGGAUACUGAUACUUAUCCCACACACAGAGACAUACAUUUCCUGCCAUGAGCCUCUCAAAGGCACAGUUUCAAACAGGAAACAAGGCCAGUAUGGUUCCUACAGUCUUCCUCUUUCAUAUACGGCCCUGUUCUUCCCCCAUCUGCGUUUCUCACAGCCAUGUGCACACUUUCAUUCAGACUGCUCUUUUCACUCUGUCCCUUUCUUAUGAACGUGUACACACACGCACACACUCCUCAGCCUCUCGUCCACUGGAGAAUAAUUGAUGGUUUCUUUUUUAGGUUCCUCUGGGGUGCAGACCACAGACAUCACUGUGUCGUGUAGAUUGGGCUGUGGUGUACAGGGGGAUUUCCUGCAGUAUUUCACCCCAGGUGCUGCGGCCCUAAUCUGGGCAGGACAGACGGCCUGCGCAGGCUGCUUUGAAGGAAGAAGGUCCUCAACUUGUAUGCCUUUAGAAAGUGUGAUCUGUAUCCUGAAUAUUAACACGGGCAGUAAAGAUAUGCAGUUACCACUCACCUCAGUUCCAGCCUCCCUCAUCGCCCUGACAACCGAGCCAUCCCGUUGCUUCCCCUCUACUAGCACGCCGGGCCUGUCCCAAGGCUAAUCCCCCCCCACCCCACCCAUCUCUCCUCUCCUCCCCCUCCCCACAGCCUCGUGCAGUAGCCCCCUGACUAGGGCACAAAAAUACUGCCAAAACACACACUUUCCAGAGCACUUUCUAUUGUUACCAUCUCUUCUGAGAGAAUUGUUUUUCCUCAGAAUGAGAAUUCAUUCACUCAACGGCAUGCUGUUUGGAACUAAGAAAUGAGUAAAACCACAAACACUUAGCCAUAAGAUGAUUUUGCUCCUUCACUAUGGAGAUAAACAUGGAGCUAAUAUUCUGGUGCUAAUUUUAUUUAUUUAUUUUUUCUUUAAUUUUUUUUUCCACCAAUAAUUUAAGCUAAGAAAUUUUAUAUAUAUAUAUAUAUAUAUAUAUAUAUAUGUGUGUGUGUGUGUGUGUGUGUGUGUGUGGAUUAUGCUUUUAUCAUAUUAUUUUACAUUCUGUAUACUAAACCAAAAUAUAGAAUAUUUUAUCAUAUAAUUAUACAUUUGUAUAGUAUGUAAUAUACUGUAUGCAAAGUUUGUACAUCUGGUGAAUGCAAGUAUACAUAAUCCACACCAUACUGCCAUCCCUAAACAGAGGGGUUUUAUUGUGUUCCUGCCCUUGUUCAGUUUGAAUUCCACAUCUGAUUAAUUGCAGUUAGGCGCAUUAGACACUAGAGGUCAGCAUUUGCUAUAAUGUUCCUUCAGAGGUAUGUGUCUCAUUAGUAAAGUGACUUGCUGAAACAAGACCCCAGAAAAGAAAGAAAGGGCAAACCAGGGUGAAGAAAAUGAAGGGUAGAUUACAAAAGAUGGAGCUGGAGUAAAGGAUGUGCACUGGGAAGAAGAUGAAGAGAGAGGCUAAUUUAAGUUGUGAGAAAAGGGUCAUAAGGUGAGGCCAAGAGCACUGCUGCUGUCUGCACAGAGCUGUAGCACCUCAAAUGAGACUAAAAAACACUUCCUGCAGUGAUGACCUGCUCAGACUAACCCACGCCUGUACAGAAAAGAAGUAGAAAGAAAGAAAUAGAGUGAGCGAGAGAGAGAGAGAGAAAAUACACUUUGUAAGCUGCGGACAAUGGCUAAAGAUUUUUUCUUUCCUUUAAAACGUUCAGCAGAAUAACUGGGUAAAGAAGGAGAAGGAAAAGUACAGGUACAAAAAAGGGAGGGGAGGAGAAUCAACACAAACCUCAAACAAAAGAACGGGCCUUGAGAGAGUCCCUGAACGACUGAUUCCUCCAUCUAACGGCGAUUCUGCUCAUUGUCUGUAAACACCUUUGUGUUUUUUACAGGCAGUUGUAAGGGUGGUACAUGCUAGCCAGGUAAGGGCAAAUAUCAGACAAAUAAAGAAAGGACUGAUAAACUAACUAAGUGUGAA